UCCGGUUUGUCACCGGCAGUCUCGUUAAAGUGCCCAACUGAAUGAUGGCAAUUAACGACAAGGGUUGCGCUCGUUGCGGGACUUAACCCAACAUCUCACGACACGAGCUGACGACAGCCAUGCAGCACCUGUGUUCCAGCUCCCUUUCGGGCACUCCCAAAUCUCUUCGGGAUUCUGGACAUGUCAAGGGUAGGUAAGGUUUUUCGCGUUGCAUCGAAUUAAUCCACAUCAUCCACCGCUUGUGCGGGUCCCCGUCAAUUCCUUUGAGUUUUAACCUUGCGGCCGUACUCCCCAGGCGGAUAACUUAAUGCGUUAGCUACGGUACCCAGGAAUCGCUUCCCGAACACCUAGUUGACAUCGUUUAGGGCGUGGACUAC
rnacentral:misc_RNA from 1 species